GUCUUCGUGGUGUAGUGGUCAACACACUGGGUGCGUAUUCCGGAAGUCCGUGGUUCGAUUCCCGGCGAGGGGG
rnacentral:tRNA from 1 species